GUUGUGUCUCCACUCCAGUCUGAUGUCCAAGUGAACACCAAGGACUUAUACUCCUCCGCUAAGAGUCUAUCUUAUACUGAAGGCCUGAGGUGUACACACUCAAAUGAAUGGUCAGGAGAAUCCGUCAUGAAGCAGUGCGAGGGACCGGCCAAGUUACCGAAGACGUAGUCAGACAUGACGCGGCUGAUCAUCGAAGCUCAGCUGAAGAGCGGGUUAAUCCAUGACUGGAGGUCCUUAAAAGCGAAGCCUUGGAGGAUGAUUGAUUGAAGACACAUGCUGAUCUGACGCUGAUUGGAUGGAGAAGAGAUGAACGGUGGAGUCAUAGGAUGGCCGAGGGGUGGAGGAGAGACAGCUGAGAGUGUCAGCUCAAAGUGAGUCAACAUAGUUGUGCCCUGAGUCCCCUGUUGCCUCAGAUGAUGUCACUCCCCAUGGAUUCACACACACAACCACCCACACACACGCACACACAAAUAUAUAUCGAAUUCAAGCACUUAGGUUUUAAAUAAAUGCUUCCAUUUUAAUUAAGUUCUGGUAUUCUUUGUAAGUGAUGUGCAGGGGGAAAAUGAGUGGUGGACCUCAGUACUAAAGUUGUCUCCAACUAGAACUGAUUUUGACAAAAUUUCCCAAUUUCACCAAAUAAACUACGAAAACCUAGAAAAAAUCGACAGCAACUAAGCUUUUCUUCCUGCUGUCUUGAUAUUAUACCCACUUUCCUUAAGAAA